UACGUAGGGUGCGAGCGUUGUCCGGAAUUACUGGGCGUAAAGAGCUCGUAGGUGGUUUGUCGCGUUGUCCGUGAAAACUCACAACUCAAUUGUGGGCGUGCGGGCGAUACGGGCAGACUGGAGUACUGCAGGGGAGACUGGAAUUCCUGGUGUAGCGGUGGAAUGCGCAGAUAUCAGGAGGAACACCGAUGGCGAAGGCAGGUCACUGGGCCGCAACUGACGCUGAGGAGCGAAAGCAUGGGGAGCGAACAGG
rnacentral:rRNA from 1 species